UACGAGAGGCCCAAACGUUAUUCGGAUUUACUGGGCUUAAAGAGUUCGUAGGCGGCUUGGAAAGUGGGGUGUGAAAGCCCUCGGCUUAACCGAGGAAUUGCGCUCCAAACUACCGAGCUUGAGUAGGCUAGAGGUGAGCAGAACUGAUGGGGAGCGGUGAAAUGCGUUGAUAUCAUCAGGAAUACCGGAGGCGAAGGCGGCUCACUGGGACCUAACUGACGCUGAGGAACGAAAGCUAGGGGAGCAAACGGG
rnacentral:rRNA from 1 species